AUGCUACUGAAUCCAAGCUUUUCUCAGAUGCAUGUGGUGAACUUCAGCACCUUGCUUGAUCUCAUUUGCCACUGCCAGGAUUUCUUUCCUUUGGAUACGAGACAAAAGCCAACUCCCUCCCAGUCUUCUUUCCGACAGUGGCGACUCGACAGGUGGUCGUGUGUUGGUAGGUCGACGAGGCAGCGGCGACUCGGCGUAGGACAGCUUGUAGGCAGCGGCUCAAGGCAAGCCAUAGUGGAUGCAGCGCGCUGGCGAGGGGAGGCCGAGCAGCGGUAUACAAAGGCAAGGCACAACGGCGGCUUGCAGGCGUGGGCCACGGUAGCUCGAGCCGGAGGCAAGGCAACAACAGCGGCCGAUGAGAACUCCGGUGAGUCGGGCACCUUGAGGUGA
rnacentral:rRNA from 1 species